GACGAACGCUGGCGGCGCGCUUAACACAUGCAAGUCGAACGGAAAGGCCUGCUUUCCCUUGUGGAUUGCGGGUACUCGAGUGGCGAACGGGUGAGUAACACGUGAGUGAUCUGCCCCCAACUUGGGUAUAAGCCUGGGAAACUGGGUCUAAUUCCCGAUAGGACUGCAGGGUGGUGCCUGUGGUGGAAAACGAUUUUCUAGUGGUUGGGGAUGAGCUCGCGGCCUAUCAGCUUGUUGGUGGGGUAAUGGCCUACCAAGGCGGCGACGGGUAGCCGGCCUGGGAGGGUGAACGGCCACAUUAGGACUGAGCUACGGCCCAGACUCCUACGGAAGGCAGCAGUGGGGAAUAUUGCACAAUGGGCGGAAGCCUGAUGCAGCGACGCCGCGUGGGGGAUGACGGCCUGCGGGUUGUAAACUCCUUUCGACCGCGGGGAAGCCACCUGGUUGGAAGGGUGGUGACGGUAGUGGUAGAAGAAGCACCGGCUAACUACGUG
rnacentral:rRNA from 1 species